rnacentral:ncRNA from 1 species
AAAGACUUAGUCCUAACCUUACCGUUAGUUUCUACCAGACAUAUACAUGCAAGUAUCCGCACCCCAGUGUAAAUGCCCCUACUUCUUACCAAGAUAAAAGGAGCAGGUAUCAGGCACACCCGUACCCCGAGUAGCCCAAGACACCUUGCUUAGCCACACCCGCACGGGUACUCAGCAGUAAUUAACAUUAAGCAAUAAGCGAAAGCUUGACUUAGUCAUGGUACCACCCAGGGUUGGUAAAUCUUGUGCCAGCCACCGUGGUCACACAAGAAACCCAAAUUAACAGACUCCGGCGUAAAGAGUGGAGCCGCACUAUCAAAGCAACCGAGACUAAAAAACAACUAAGCUGUCAUAAACUCAAGAUGUCCUUAAACCCAACCUCAAAACGAUCUUGGCACUCCCACCUGAUCAACCAAACCUCACGAAAGCUAGGAUACAAACUGGGAUUAGAUACCCCACUAUGCCUAGCCAUAAAUCUCGAUGCUUCCCCCACCAAAGCAUCCGCCCGAGAACUACGAGCACAAACGCUUAAAACUCUAAGGACUCGGCGGUGCCCCAAACCCACCUAGAGGAGCCUGUUCUAUAAUCGAUAAUCCACGAUACAGCUCACCAUCUCUUGCCAAACAGCAGCCUACAUACCGCCGUCGUCAGUUCACCUCAUCAGAGUCCAACAGUGAACACAACAGCCCAACCCCGCUAAUAAGGCAGGUCAAGGUAUAGCCCACGAGAUGGCAGAAAUGGGCUACAUUCUCUAAAAUAGAGUACCCACGAAAGGGGGCGUGAAAUCACCCCCAGAAGGCGGAUUUAGCAGUAAAGCGGAACAAUCGAGUCCCCUUUAAACUGGCCCUGGAGCACGUACAUACCACCCGUCACCUUCCUCACAAGCCCCAAACUCACAUAACUAAUACCCUCCCCCAGCUAAAGAUGAGGUAAGUCGUAACAAGGACUUGAUGAUCUUAAAGGUCCUUUCCAACCUAGUGAUUCUGUGAUUCCUGAGAAGGUAAGUGUACUGGAAAGUGCACUUAGCAUAU